rnacentral:rRNA from 1 species
GACGAACGCUGGCGGCGUGCCUAAUACAUGCAAGUUGAGCGCUGACGGUUGGUACUUGUACCAACUGGAUGAGCAGCGAACGGGUGAGUAACGCGUGGGGAAUCUGCCUUUGAGCGGGGGACAACAUUUGGAAACGAAUGCUAAUACCGCAUAAAAACUUUAAACACAAGUUUUAAGUUUGAAAGAUGCAAUUGCAUCACUCAAAGAUGAUCCCGCGUUGUAUUAGCUAGUUGGUGAGGUAAAGGCUUACCAAGGCGAUGAUACAUAGCCGACCUGAGAGGGUGAGCGGCCACAUUGGGACUGGGACACGGCCCAAACUCCUACGGGAGGCAGCAGUAGGGAAUCUUCGGCAAUGGACGAAAGUCUGACCGAGCAACGCCGCGUGAGAGAAGAAGGUUUUCGGAUCGUAAAACUCUGUUGGUAGAGAAGAACGUUGGUGAGAGUGGAAAGCUCAUCAAGUGACGGUAACUACCCAGAAAGGGACGGCUAACUACGUG